GUGUUGCAAAGCCUUUAAUUAGAAUGUUUGUAUUUUUUACAUCAUGCAUAACUUCACAUUUGUGAUUAAUUAGUAAUUAUUUCAAUACUUGUAAGCUCAUCUGCCUCAGAUUUAAUCAUAAUACAUGAAUUAAAUUAAUCAAAUUAAGGAACAGCAAUUUAGAAAGAAACACACUUUAAGAAAUCAAAAUUCUCAAUUCAGGCAGUCUGUUUCUAUCAUUUGGUAUUCUACUCCUUUAAAAAUUUCAUAUUGCCCAACAAAAAGUGGUUAUUUUUACUGUUUUUGGAGAUGACUGAACAGAUGAAGGCAUCAGAUGCCUUCAUCAGCUGGUAUUUUGCCUAAGAUCUAUUUAAGAUAACCUUUUCUUAUAUUUUUUACUUAAUAUUGGGCAUAAUCGUAUCAUUCAAGAUUAAGUCUGGGUUAUUUCUUUGAUAAGAACUGAAUGUGGCCGGGCGCAGUGGCUCACGCCUGUAAUCCCAGCACUUUGGGAGGCCGAGGUGGGUGGAUCACAAGGUCAGGAGAUCGAGACCAUCCUGGCUAACACGGUGAAACCCUGUCUCUACUAAAAAUACAAAAAAUUAGCCGGGCGUGGCAGGCUGGUCUCGAACUCCUGACCUCAGGUGAUCCAUCUGCCUCGGUCUCCCAAAGUGCUGGGAUUACAGGCGUGAGCCAC
rnacentral:lncRNA from 10 species